AAAUGAAGAAGAACAAAAAUGAACGCCCAACUUCCGCUCGACAGGUGAAGCCCGUGACGUCACCGACUCGGAAAGUGCGAGGAACUGCUUCAUGAAAACAAAAAUAAUUUGCCGUUUUGUUUAACUCUUAGAAACAAUCUUGCGUAAUAUACGGCAACGAUAUGUGUGGUUUCGAUAAGGAGAAGGGCCCAGGGCGUCUGAUGAAGAAGGGGUUUACUCUGAUCCUGGUGGGUCACAUUAACUUCAUUCUGGGAGCCAUCAUCCACGGCAGCAUCCUGCGCCACAUCUCUAAACCCAACGACCAGAUCACCACCGAGUUCACCGCCGCCAACAUCAUCUCUGUCACCUCCGGACUGCUGAGCAUUGCAACAGGAAUCAUUGCCAUAUUGGUGUCAAGAAAUCUGUCAGUUUGGAAGCUGCACAUAGGUCUUCUGAUUAGUUCCUUCCUGAAUGCCCUACUCUCUGCAGCCUGUGGCAUCGGGCUCCUAUUGGCUAUUAGCCUCACCAUUGCCAACGAGGGGAGGGGCCUCAUGUUGGGCUGCAACUUCACUGACUUGCCAAUCAACGCCCGCUCGCCAGUCAACGCAGACUGCCCCUUUGACACCACACGGAUUUAUGACACUGCCCUGUCUCUGUGGUUCCCAUGUGUACUUCUGGCUGGACUGGAAACAGGACUUUCUAUCUGGUGCUUCGUAGUGGGACUGGUACUGAGGGGUCUAGGACCCUGCUCUCACACAUACCUCAAAGAACAGGUAAUACUCACUCACUCACUCACUCACUCACUCACUCACUCACUUACUUCUUUCUCCAUCUCUCCUGUUUCUGUUCUCUGUGCCAGCUGGAGGAGGAGGCUCUAACUAAUAGGGCAGAUCCAGAGUACUCACUCCAGGUCCGGAGCCUGAUUGGUCAACACUCUGCCUACGCAUAGAGGACUGCCACAGACUGGGAGUGUUUGAUGACGAAGGUGUGACUGAGCCUCUUCGUCUUCAGAGAACCUCCCUGGUGCCUUUACCUCCAUUCAUACCAAAGACUCUCCUCUCCCUCAACGUGAUAGGCUAGCUAGACUGCUGGAUGACAUUGUCUCUGUGUCUGCCUCAGAAUGUCUGUCCUCCCCUCGAUCCGCCAACAUUUCACAAAUGCAAAAUUACAAAUGCCUGUAGUGUAGAGAUUAUUUAUGGAUCAAUAUCUUCGUUAUAGUAUUUUAAAUAAUUGCAUUUAAUCACAUUUGGCAUUUAUCAUGCUUCAUGCUUUUUUCAUUUUCUGCACAUGUUAUUUCCUCCUUUUAACAGCAGCACACUGUUAUAUACCUCGUUAAAUUUAACGACUAACUCUCAGCUUAGCCAAAGAUGUUUGUUUUAUGACUACUCUUGUAUUUAACUACCAAUCUCAGCCAAAGAUGUUUUAUUGUCAUGUGUGUUUUUGUAACCUGAUUAUGUCUACCUGCCUGAUCUACCAGGCCUCGAUGCACUCCAUAGUGUUUACUACUCUGUUAUUUCCUGGCUUGAAUGUAUACUGUGGGGAUAUGGGAAGACAAUGCCUGAGAGGGGCUCUGAGGGUUCAUCUCAAAUUCCUAGAAACAAAUCUCCCACAUUGCAGUUUUCUCCCAAUUUUAUUUCUCCUGCAGGUGCAUAUAGAAGAAGGGGAACAGGGAGAGCUGAACCACUUUAGUGUACUGAGACGCACACUGAAAUUUUGACUGAAACCCAAUGCAGCAGAGCAGCCCCUGGGGGCCGGGGUGCAUGAGUGGUCAGGUAGACACCAGUAUGUAAGUCAUACAGGUGUAGCUGGGAUGGGCUCACAUUCCCCGACACCAGGCAGAAGUUAUCAGCUCAGUGCUGAAACGGUUCAUCUGGUGCUGGGUUAAAUCAAGCGGGUCGUAAUCUUUGCACACAACGCUAAUCCCCUGAUCUGAGGGGGGAAUCAAUAUUGAUAUAAGGAGGUGACUGACCCUGUCCCAACAAAGGUUGUUUUCUAUGCGUGGCCAGCUGAAUGUUGUUCCUCCAGGGCUGCCAUAUGUUGUACUGUAGUACUACUACUUUAGUGGGUGUCCACUAGCUUCCAUAGCCACAAAGUCAUAUUCCACAGUCACAAAGUUGUAAUUGGCUACAAAAACAAGCUUUUUGGUUUUAAUUUAAGGUUAGCAGUGUGGUUAAGUUCAGGGCUAAGGUUAGGUUUAAAAUAAAAUUUUAAGACUUUAAUUGUAGAAAUGGGUGGGGUGUAUGACUUUGUGGUAACUAGUGUCGACCACUUUGCAGGGAUAAACUAGUGUAGGCUACUCAUUAGAAUGAGCUGGAUUUCACUGAGUUUAAACCCUGGUGGAUUGUCACUGGAAUGUAGUCCAAUAACAUUUUAUGUGUAAGGGUUGGGGUCUUACAUUUUUUAUUCAGGAAGUCAGUUGAACUUCCUGAAUUGAUCCUGACCAUGACCUCAAUCUACAUUUCAUGCAUGGUGUGUUUUGGUUGCCUGCAGUAUUUUUUACAUGAAGUUGCAUGUGUUUAGUUGAUUUUAUAUUUAAGGACUGCACCGAUCAAUGUGUUCAACGUUUUUAUAUGGAAUCAUUUUCUUCAAAUAAAUGUUAACUCUUUGAUUUAU